UCCCCGUUACCGGGGCAGUCUGAUUAGAAAAAUUCAACUAAUCACAAGGGUUGCGCUCGUUGAUGGACUUAACCAAACAUCUCACGACACGAGCUGACGACGGCCAUGCAACACCUGUCACUCAGUUUCCGAAGACACUCUCUCCUUUCGGAGAAAUUCUGAGGAUGUCAAACCUGGGUAAGGUUCUUCGCUUACCAUCGAAUUAAAGAACACGCUCCACCGCUUGUGCGGGUCCCCGUCAAUUCCUUUAUGUUUUAAGCUUGCGCUCGUACUCCACAGGCGGGAUGCUUAACGCGUUAGCUUCGCUACAUCACGGGUCGAUACGUAAUACAGCUAGCAUCCAUAGUUUACGGCGUGGACUAA
rnacentral:misc_RNA from 1 species